rnacentral:lncRNA from 1 species
UAAGCGAAUUCCAUUCGAGCCUCUACUGUAAAUAAAUUUCUUCCGAACUUCUAUUACAGGUAGACUUCAGUCGAGCUUCUUCACAGCCGGAUCCCAGACGAGCUUCUACAAUGGGACAGGCUCCACCAGCCAGGUCAUUACUCCGAGCUUCCACGACAACCGAUCUUCGAUCGAGCUUCUACAAUAAGCGGCCUCUUUUUGGCCUUCUGCAAGAAUCGGACUCCGUCUGAACUUUCAUAGCGGAUGGAUCCCGGACGAACUUCUACAACAGACGGGCUCCAGCAGCUGGAUUUUCACAACGGCCAACCACCUCUGAUGUCUACCGAACCUCCCCAGCCAUCAACCUUCAAUAGCGU